GAUGAACGCUGGCGGCGUGCUUAACACAUGCAAGUCGAACGGUGAAGCCAAGCUUGCUUGGUGGAUCAGUGGCGAACGGGUGAGUAACACGUGAGCAACCUGCCCUGGACUCUGGGAUAAGCGCUGGAAACGGCGUCUAAUACUGGAUAUGAGCCUUCAUCGCAUGGUGGGGGUUGGAAAGAUUUUUUGGUCUGGGAUGGGCUCGCGGCAUAUCAGCUUGUUGGUGAGGUAAUGGCUCACCAAGGCGUCGACGGGUAGCCGGCCUGAGAGGGUGACCGGCCACACUGGGACUGAGACACGGUCCAGACUCGUACGGGAGGCAGCAGUGGGGAAUAUUGCACAAUGGGCGAAAGCCUGAUGCAGCAACGCCGCGUGAGGGAUGACGGCCUUCGGGUUGUAAACCUCUUUUAGCAGGGAAGAAGCGAAAGUGACGGUACCUGCAGAAAAAGCGCCGGCUAACUACGUGCCAGCAGCCGCCGUAAAAC
rnacentral:rRNA from 1 species